GCUAAUACCGCAUACGAUCUACGGAUGAAAGCGGGGGAUCGCAAGACCUCGCGCGAUUGGAGCGGCCGAUAUCAGAUUAGGUAGUUGGUGAGGUAAAGGCUCACCAAGCCGACGAUCUGUAGCUGGUCUGAGAGGACGACCAGCCACACUGGGACUGAGACACGGCCCAGACUCCUACGGGAGGCAGCAGUGGGAAUUUUGGACAAUGGGCGCAAGCCUGAUCCAGCAAUGCCGCGUGCAGGAUGAAGGCCUUCGGGUUGUAAACUGCUUUUGUACGGAACGAAACGGUGAGCUCUAAUACAGUUUGCUAAUGACGGUACCGUAAGAAUAAGCACCGGCUAACUACGUG
rnacentral:rRNA from 1 species